AUGGGCCCAGCAGAGGCAGGGCCACACCCAGGGUCCCGCCAAACCCCACCCGCAGGGCCAGGCGUGUUCCUGGCACCAUGGGACAGGACGACUAUGGAUGGCGGCGGUGCGGGCACAGCCUCUGAGUCACCGCAGAGAAAUAAGGAGAGUGGGAAGGACACCGCGUCUCGCUCUCUGGCUCGGUUUCCCAGCGCCAGGAAAUCCCCACUGAGCUACCAGCCCCUUUGCUGCCCCGACACCCCCCUGCUUCCGGCUGCCCAGGGCCGGCCUGGCCGCUCCCCACCCCUCCACCCCGGGGUCCCGCGGGGCCGGGCCCUGGGCACAGAAGCAGGUCUCCCUCCUGUCAACUGGGCCCCGGUUCCCGGGGUGGGGGGGACAGUUUCCUCAUGGCCUCAGAGAGAGCCCCCGCUGGCCUGGGGGCGGGGGGUGCGCAGUUGCUGGGCCGCACCUGGGCCAGACCACUCCGCCUGUUCUUGAGGGCCGGGCCGGGCCGGGCUCAGGACACGGGCCCAGGGUGAGCUGUGAUGGGACGUCUGGGCUCAGACACUCCUGUGUCUCCUGGGUCAGCAGCAUAGCCAUGCCCGACCCUUGAAGGUCUGGACCCCCAGGCUCCUCGCUGAGCCAUCUUCCCAUCUGUGAAGUGGGGCCUGGGGUCACCCCCCAGCACUGGUGGGCGUGGCUGCAUCACAGGGCCUCUGUUCUUCCUCUACCUGUGUACCUGUGCCAGCCUGGCUCCCUCCUGUCCUCUAGCCAGGACACCACCCUGAGAAUUUAGUCUCUCUCCCCAGGACCCCAGGUGCUACCCCACAUGGGCCUUCUGCCCUCUGCCUCGCCAUCUCUGUCUCGGCCACGCCCUGUCUGGGCAUGCCCACAGAGGGCAGUUGCUGACUUGCGGUUUCUGGGACGCCACUGCGGGGUUUCGGCCCAGCCCUGGAGUCCCUCCCGCACAGGCAGGCCAGGAGCCUGCUCUGAACACACCACUCUGCAGCUCGAAGUCUGUCCCGGCUCCCUCUUGCCUGUGGAGGAAAGAACGGUAGAGCCGCUGGGCCUCAGCUCUCUCAGCAGCAAAAUGGGUCUUUGGGGAGCACUGCCUGCCCCCUAAACCCCUUGAGGGACCCGGCUGGCACGUCCUGCACGGUGGGCAGGGAGAUAGCUGCUGCAUCUGGGGGUCUCCACAACCUCAUCCUGCCCCUGCUCCCACCAGCUGUGAGGCUCCUCCGUGGCCUUAAAAGAGCCUCAGCUGGGCAGUGCUGCCCAGCUCACAGGUCAGACACACAGAGAUGGGGACAUGGGAGGCCAAAUUUCGCCUGGGGCCUGGCCCCUGAGUGGUGCCCAGACCCAGCUCCAGGCUCCAUGGCAGCUCCCGCCGUGGCCACGUGCUGCUGUCGGCCAUUCCUCAUCAACAACACAGCCCGCCCAGCUCCCGCAUCCCACCCUGCCCCUGUGUCCCCUGUGGCUGAGGAUGGCACCUGCCUGGCAUGUCACUGGAGCCAUCCAGGCCAUCCCAGCCCGUGGCCGCCUCUCUUCACCUCCUGUGAGUCCUUGCUCCCCGGUUUGGGCGUGUCUGAGGACGGCGGGUGUGAGGGUGCCCAAGGGCCUUGUGGGUGCUGAGUCAGGAGCUGGAAGGGCCCGUGUGGACCCAGUGCACCCACGUGCCCUGCCCAGUGGGCCAUGUGCUGCUUGGCCAGCAGGCUUGAGAGUCGGUGUCCCUGGAAGGGCGCACAUGCCCUCCCUGCCCCCGAGCCCAGCUCUCCACUGGGAAGUCCAGCAGCCUGGACACAGGGCAGCUACAGCUCUCACAGCCUGUGACCGGCCUCUCCCACAGGCUGCUUCCCUCGCCCAUCUUGGCCAGGCCACCGCCUCCGCUGGGCGGCAGUGUGGCCCACUGAGCAAAGUGCCCCAGCACUGGGCACAGCCAGCGACGAGGGUUUUCACCUGCGCUCAGGACACUCAGAUCCACCCAGAUGAUUUGGGGCCAUUGACCCCCUCCCAGGCCCCCUCUGAUGGCACCCCCGCCCCCUGCAGCACAAGGGGGCUCUGCUCUCCAGACCCCUCUCGCCCUGCCCGGGGUGUUUGGUGGGGAGGGUCCCAGCCCUGGGGAACCUGGGCCCACGGGGUAUCAGGGGUGCAGGCAGUGGGGGACGUGGA